UACGAAGGGGGCAAGCGUUGUUCGGAUUUACUGGGCGUAAAGCGCACGUAGGCGGAUCGUUAAGUCGGGGGUGAAAUCCUGGAGCUCAACUCCAGAACUGCCUUCGAUACUGGCGAUCUUGAGUCCGGAAGAGGUGAGUGGAACUCCUAGUGUAGAGGUGGAAUUCGUAGAUAUUAGGAAGAACACCAGUGGCGAAGGCGGCUCACUGGUCCGGUACUGACGCUGAGGUGCGAAAGCGUGGGGAGCAAACAGG
rnacentral:rRNA from 1 species